rnacentral:lncRNA from 1 species
CCGGAUGCUACCGGAUGUUCCUAUCUGCUCUCUUUACUUGUAUAGGAUCUGGUGGGAAACCAAAAUGAUCAACUGGUUCAUGCAAAGUAUUUUCGAUACAGUUAAAUCGAGCUUGAAGCUGUAAUAUAUUUGCAACCUAGCCUUAAAUAUGGUUUCAUCAAUUGCAUGAUUUAAAUGCUACCCAGGCCUAAUGCUACCAAGUGCAACUCUCAUAAACUACAAACUUAUAUCUCUU